UAGGGAUGAAGAAGGGUGAAGUGCUAAGAUUCUGGUCAUAGUAAUCAUUGGUUUGUUGCCCACAGAUCUAUCACUUUGCAUUAUUUAAUCCGGGAGCCCAGCAACCGUAUUACAACUAAAUUCGAGAGAUGGACAGACAAAGCCAGAGUGGAGAGGAAAUAUCACUCGAUGAUGUGGAAUUGAAGACGGCGAUGGAAAAUUAUAUGGGCAGAUGCUUUAGGAGAUCUGUGAUUAAUGCUACUUUCACUCAGAAGCAAGCUCUGCCUAUUGCGUGUGUACAGUGAGCAGAUAGAACUGUCCGAGGUUCCAUAUCCUGGGAGCAACUCCAAGAUUUCUCGAUACCUCAUGAAAAAAAAAAAUACCAUCCAGGACUCAGGCAAAAUGUCUGGAGGCACAGAUUCCAUGAUUAUACAGUGUUAUAUGUUGGUGUUAUAGAAAUAAAUGAUACAACUAAUAAUUAUUGUAAAUAGUAAAAGUUUUAAAGGAGUGCUUUAUACAUCUGAAAACAUACUCGCCUUUUGUAUAGU